rnacentral:rRNA from 1 species
AUUGAACGCUGGCGGCAGGCCUAACACAUGCAAGUCGAACGAGUGGCGGACGGGUGAGUAAUGUCUGGGAAACUGCCUGAUGGAGGGGGAUAACUAAUGGAAACGGUAGCUAAUACCGCAUACCAUCAGAUGUGCCCAGAUGUGAUGAGCGUGUUGGUGGGGUAACGGCUCACAAAGGCGACGAACCCUAGCUGGUCUGAGAGGAGGACCAGCAAAAAUGGAACUGAGACACGGUCCAGAUUCCUACGGGAGGCAGCAGUGGGGAAUAUUGCACAAUGGGCGCAAGCCUGAUGCAGCCAUGCCGCGUGUAUGAAGAAGGCCUUCGGGUUGUAAAGUACUUUCAGCGGGGAGGCGUUACCCGCAGAAGAAGCACCGGCUAACUCCGUGCCAGCCGCCGCGGUAAUUC